rnacentral:sRNA from 1 species
GAUGCCAGGGUCAUAAGCCUCAAACCACGAUGUGCUUGCACAAGAGUGGUUUUGAGGCUUAAUGACCCGCCCCUAUAUGAGCAUAAAAGUGGAGCGUUAGCUUCACGAUAUGCGAAUAUUGGGGCGGAUUGUGAGAGUGCGUAGCACGGAACAAUCCGUAAGG